GAUGAACGCUGGCGGCGUGCCUAAUACAUGCAAGUCGAGCGAACAGACGAGGAGCUUGCUCCUCUGACGUUAGCGGCGGACGGGUGAGUAACACGUGGAUAACCUACCUAUAAGACUGGGAUAACUUCGGGAAACCGGAGCUAAUACCGGAUAACAUGUUGAACCGCAUGGUUCAACAGUGAAAGACGGUUUUGCUGUCACUUAUAGAUGGAUCCGCGCCGCAUUAGCUAGUUGGUAAGGUAACGGCUUACCAAGGCAACGAUGCGUAGCCGACCUGAGAGGGUGAGCGGCCACACUGGAACUGAGACACGGUCCAGACUCCUACGGGAGGCAGCAGUAGGGAAUCUUCCGCAAUGGGCGAAAGCCUGACGGAGCAACGCCGCGUGAGUGAAGAAGGUCUUCGGAUCGUAAAACUCUGUUAUUAGGGAAGAACAAAUGUGUAAGUAACUAUGCACGUCUUGACGGUACCUAAUCAGAAAGCCACGGCUAACUACGUG
rnacentral:rRNA from 1 species